GAGCUUGCUCCUCUGACGUUAGCGGCGGACGGGUGAGUAACACGUGGAUAACCUACCUAUAAGACUGGGAUAACUUCGGGAAACCGGAGCUAAUACCGGAUAAUAUAUUGAACCGCAUGGUUCAAUAGUGAAAGACGGUUUUGCUGUCACUUAUAGAUGGAUCCGCGCCGCAUUAGCUAGUUGGUAAGGUAACGGCUUACCAAGGCAACGAUGCGUAGCCGACCUGAGAGGGUGAUCGGCCACACUGGAACUGAGACACGGUCCAGACUCCUACGGGAGGCAGCAGUAGGGAAUCUUCCGCAACGGGCGAAAGCCUGACGGAGCAACGCCGCGUGAGUGAUGAAGGUCUUCGGAUCGUAAAACUCUGUUAUUAGGGAAGAACAAAUGUGUAAGUAACUAUGCACGUCUUGACGGUACCUAAUCAGAAAGCCACGGCUAACUACGUGCCAGCAGCCGCGGUAAUACGUAGGUGGCAAGCGUUAUCCGGAAUUAUUGGGCGUAAGGCGCGCGUAGGCGGUUUUUUAAGUCUGAUGUGAAAGCCCACGGCUCAACCGUGGAGGGUCAUUGGAAACUGGAAAACUUGAGUGCAGAAGAGGAAAGUGGAAUUCCAUGUGUAGCGGUGAAAUGCGCAGAGAUAUGGAGGAACACCAGUGGCGAAGGCGAC
rnacentral:rRNA from 1 species